GACGAACGCUGGCGGCGUGCUUAACACAUGCAAGUCGAACGAAGAGCGACGGAAGCUUGCUUCUAUCAAUCUUAGUGGCGAACGGGUGAGUAACGCGUAAUCAACCUGCCCUACAGAGGGGGACAACAGUUGGAAACGACUGCUAAUACCGCAUACGAUCUAACCUCGGCAUCGAGGAUAGAUGAAAGGUGGCCUCUACAUGUAAGCUAUCACUGAAGGAGGGGAUUGCGUCUGAUUAGCUAGUUGGAGGGGUAACGGCCCACCAAGGCGAUGAUCAGUAGCCGGUCUGAGAGGAUGAACGGCCACAUUGGGACUGAGACACGGCCCAGACUCCUACGGGAGGCAGCAGUGGGGAAUCUUCCGCAAUGGACGAAAGUCUGACGGAGCAACGCCGCGUGAGUGAUGACGGCCUUCGGGUUGUAAAGCUCUGUUAAUCGGGACGAAAGGCCUUCUUGCGAAUAGUGAGAAGGAUUGACGUUACCGGAAUAGAAAGCCACGGCUAACUACGUG
rnacentral:rRNA from 1 species